rnacentral:tRNA from 1 species
GGCAAGGUAGCUCAGCGGUAGAGCGGGCGCUUCAUAAGCGCUAGGUCACAGGUUCGAGCCCUGUCCUUGCCA